AACGAACGCUGGCGGCAGGCCUAACACAUGCAAGUCGAACGCACCGCAAGGUGAGUGGCGCACGGGUGAGUAACACGUGGGAAUGUACCCUUUGGUUCGGAAUAACGUCUGGAAACGGACGCUAAUACCGGAUGAGCCCUGCGGGGGAAAGAUUUAUCGCCAAAGGAGCAGCCCGCGUCUGAUUAGCUAGUUGGUGGGGUAAAGGCCUACCAAGGUGACGAUCCGGAGCUGGGCUGAGAGGAUGAUCAGCCACACUUGGAGUGCGACACGGCCCAGACGCCUACGGGAGGCAGCAGUGGGGAAUAUUGGACAAUGGGCGAAAGCCUGAUCCAGCCAUGCCGCGUGAGUGAUGAAGGCCUUCGGGUUGUAAAGCUCUUUCGCACGCGACGAUGAUGACGGUAGCGUGAGAAGAAGCCCCGGCUAACUUCGUGCCAGCCGCCGCAGUAAGAC
rnacentral:rRNA from 1 species